rnacentral:rRNA from 1 species
GAUGAACGCUGGCGGCGUGCCUAACACAUGCAAGUCGAACGAAGCACUGUCGAAUGAGGAUUCGUCUGAAUUUGGCUUUGACUUAGUGGCGGACGGGUGAGUAAUGCGUGAGCAACCUGCCUUUCAGAGGGGGACAACAGUUGGAAACGACUGCUAAUACCGCAUGACAUAUUGAGAUCGCAUGGUUUUAAUAUUAAAGAUUUAUCGCUGAAAGAUGGGCUCACGGUCUGAUUAGUUAGUUGGUGAGGUAACGGCUCACCAAGACUGCGAUCAGUAGCCGGACUGAGAGGUUGAACGGCCACAUUGGGACUGAGAUACGGCCCAGACUCCUACGGGAGCAGCAGUGGGAAUAUUGGGCAAUGGGCGAAAGCCUGACCCAGCAACGCCGCGUGAAGGAAGAAGGUUUCGGAUUGUAAACUUCUUUAUCAGGGACAAGAAAGUGACGGUACCUGAUGAAUAAGCCACGGCUAACUACGUGCCAGCAGCC